GAAGUUUUCUGCUCCUGUCCUGUACUGGUUUUCACUAAGCCAACUGUGAGAUUUCUUUGUUGCAAUAUUGGGGUCUGAGAUAACACUGCUGGAGGCUGGAGGCAAGAAACAUAGCCGAAACCAUCUUUUAGUGUGUGCUGUUAUUUACUAGCGCUGUGAACCAAGGAAGCGAAAAAACAAAGAGCCCGAAGACUGCACAGUUCCAGCUUGUAGGCCCUGGAGACAGUCUGGAGUCCUCAGACGGACAGAAAGAAGACAUCAGAAGGGCAACCUGUGGUGCCUGUGGCUGCUGAGUACAGGCGUGGGUGACUGAUUUUUAAGAAAUCGGCAACACGGAAGCUGAUUAUAAAAUAUUCAUAAGAAGCUGGCUUUUACAGGUAAUCGCUUUUUUCCUUCUACUUCUUCCCAAACCUUCCAUUUCUUCAAAUAGUACAAUUUUUAGGACAUUGAAAGCUUAUAUAUUUAAUGUUGCUAGUUUAUAUCUUUAUAACCCAUCAAUCUAGCUUUUGUGGUCUUUGAUUCUUUGGAGUUUGAGAGUUUUUAGAAUUAAUUUCAAAAGGAUGUUUGCUUCUUUUUAAAGUAAUUUAGGCAGAGUUCAUUUGAAACCACAAACACUGUCUUUGAACUCUGGAUGUAUAUGUAUGUAUAUGUAUAUUAUAUGCAUAUAUGUGUGUCUAUAUAUCUGAGAAUUCAGGGUUUAUAUGCAUUUCAGAAGGUUGUUAUUAAUAUUUUAGCUUCAGUUCUACUUGAUUACAACUUAGCACUUUCUGGAACUCUUCAAUAUCCAUUGCGUGGGUGGGGAUUGAGUUUGGCUCUCAUGAUCCAGGCAGCUUCCUUUGGGUGCCGCUGAAGCACUUUGUCCCACCUAGAAAGGUUUACAAGCAUCCAUGAUCUGGUGUCCAAAAAAAAGUACCUUUCCCUUUGUUUGUAAAUGACAGCCCCAUGUUUUCACAGUUGGUUGCUAUGUGGUAGUGUCCUGUGCAAUCUUGUUUCAUGUAAUGACCCAAAAUGUCCUUUGGAAAAAGAAUCCCAUUUCCUUCCCCAACACAAAGAAGUUUCUUGAAGAAAGCUUCCAAUGACUACUUCAGGGGAGGCAUCUAUUGGCAAACAAGCUUCCCUCUUCAAGUGUAAAUGUUAAUAUUUGAAUAUUUUCUUUGUAACUUCUGGUCAGGUGUUUUUUGUUUGUUUGUUUUGUUUGUUUGUUUGUUUUGAUUUCUGAAUGUAAAACUUGAGAUUGUUUGGAAGCUAAUUUUAGUACAUGUGAAUGCAUAGUCC
rnacentral:lncRNA from 1 species